CCUAUUUCAACUGCAAGGUUAGUUUUCGUAGUUCACUCUAAAUUUUCCUCUGUCUUCUCCACCCAAUCAUAUCCCCUUCUCUGCUCCUGAUUCCUCAUCACUUGUUAACUCAAAGAAGUGGGUAAGCAUGCAUCUGCCUUUUCUCCACUUGGUCAUCAUCGUGCUCCUGAUUCCUUGGCCCUUCAGUUCAGUGCUUCUGUGCGCACCUGUCAGUGUGCUUGUCCCUGGCAUGAGACUCGCUCCUGACAAAACUCUCACCUCGGACCAAGGUUCGUUCGCCUUAGACUUCUUUACCCCCUCAAAUUCAACUGAAAAUACAUAUGUUGGCAUAUGGUUCAACGAUAUCCCAUUGCGCACCAUCGUCUGGGUUGCCAACCGCGAUAAUCCGAUCACUGAUGCUUCAUCCGCGAUGCUUACUAUGACCGGCAACUCUAGCCUUAUGUUGUCUGAAAACAAUGGCCACCACAUACUUUGGAUGGCAAACACAAUCACUGGCAGCAACUCUUCGGCCAAACUUCUCAACAAUGGCAAUCUUGUAGUCCUAUCAUCAGACAGUGACAUGUUAUGGCAGAGUUUCGAGAAUCCAAGCGACACCAUCCUUGCUGGCAUGCCUAUGCAGGCGACCCACAAGACACACCCACCAUGGCGGAUCAUCUCUUGGAAGGGCCCUGAAGACCCGUCAAAAGGCAGGUUCUCUGUUGGGAAUGACCUUGACACUCCCCUACAGUCCUUCAUCUGGAAUGGGUCAGUGCCAUACUUCCGUGCUGCUGUGAGGAACGGCUAUGUAUCCUCCAACGGGGGCCUCCAGGCAGUUAGUCCACUCAUGUAUUUGACGAUUUACAUGGGCACCAAUGGCGAGACCUAUUCAACAUUUGGACUAUCAGAUGGCUCCUCCAGGAUAUUUUACAAGGUUGACUACUCUGGAAAGACCACGAUAUGGAGAUGGAAUACCAGCUUAACAGAUUGGACCCUCAUUACAUCGUGGCCAGCUUACCGGUGCAAUCUCUAUGGAUACUGUGGUGCAUAUGGCUACUACGACAACACACAGGGAAUUCCUACAUGCAAGUGCCUUGCUGGAUUUGACCCUAGUAACAAAACAGAGUGGGUUGGAGGCAUUUUUUCUCAUGGUUGCCGGCGAAAGGAGGAACUGCAGUGUGGUGGACAGGACAAUUUCCUGACCUUGCCAGCAAUGAAGGUGCCAGACAAGUUUGUACGCCCGUGGAACAAAAGCUAUGAUGACUGCAAAGUGGAGUGCAGCAAAAAUUGCUCAUCUGUAGCAUAUGCUUAUGCUAAUCUAAGCACCACCUACAUUGAUGGGGAUGCAACAAGGUGCCUGAUGUGGACCGGGGAGCUGAUUGACGUGGGGAAGGGUGCCAUUGGCAAUGAGAACCUAUAUCUCCGGCUUGCUGCCUUGUCAAGAAAAGGGCAAAAGAGCAUCGUAAUAAAAGUUAUACCAGGAAUUUCAGCAAGUGUGUUGCUGAUACUUCUAUUGGCAUGCCUUGUAUGGUCCUGCAAGUUUAAAGGAAAACAUGACAAGAAAGGAAGACCAAAGAGACUGAUAAUGGGGGAUUUGCGCAGUAGUGAUGGACUCGGAGAGGAAACUCAUGAACUUCCAUUUAUUAGCUUUGAGGAAAUAGUUGCUGCAACAAACAACUUCUCUAUGUCCAAUUUGCUAGGAGAAGGCGGCUUUGGUAAAGUUUACAAGGGGCUCUUCCAUGGCAACAAAGAAGUUGCUGUUAAAAGGCUCAGUAGAGGUUCUGGGCAGGGGGCAAUAGAGUUUAGGAAUGAAGUAGUCGUGAUUGCUAAACUGCAACACAAAAACCUUGUAAGGCUUGUCUGUUAUUGUGUGCAGGGCGAUGAAAAGCUACUUAUUUAUGAGUAUCUGCCAAACAGAAGCCUGGAUACCACUCUUCCUUUUCAAUUCUGAAAAGAAGCCAAUGCUUCACUGGCCAACACGAUUCAAUAUAAUCAAAGGAGUAGCUAGAGGACUACUCUAUCUACAUCAAGACUCAAGACUGAUGAUAAUUCAUAGGGAUCUGAAAACAAGCAACAUUUUGCUAGAUGGGAAUAUGAAUCCCUAGAUAUCUGAUUUUGGCAUGGCAAGAAUCUUUGGUGGAGAUGAGCAACAAGCAAACACUAACCGAGUUGUCGGAACAUAGCAUGGAGGGAAGGGCUAGCAAUGGAUUUGGUGGAUCCAUCAGUUUCAGAGAGUUGCUCGAAUGAAGAGGCUUUAUGUUGCAUUCAUGUUGGGCUCUUGUGUGUUCAGGAUGAUCCGGAUGUCAGACCACUCAAGUCAACUGUUGUAUCAACGUUGGAGAGUAGAAGCACACCAGUUGCAACGCCUGAUAAGCCACUGUAUUUUUCUCGGAGGAAUAAGGUAGCAAAGAGAGCAGACUACGGUCAGGACUCUGUGGAUAUGGAAGCCCUUACAGUACUGGAGGGGCGAUAGGGUCUCGAAGUUUUCAAGUUCCACCCGUGCACUGUUUCCUGUUCUCCCAUGCUUGCAUUGAGAUGAUUUUGCAGCACUCUUUCAAAGCCAAAGCUUCCAAAAGGUGUGAUUUCACCCCCUCAGUUCAAAGAUGGAAUCUACCGUGGGAGGACAAGGUUAUGGUCAACCUUGAUACUGCCAUCUUCUUACAAUCUGAAUAUAUUGGUGCUGGUGUUGUACUUUUGUGUCCAGUGAUCACUUCUAUGAGAAUGUGUGAUCACUUCUAUGAGAAGGUUUGCGAUCCUGAACCCGCUGAAGUAAUGGCCACUCGAUGUUCUUUUAUCAUGUUCUCUUGUUGAUGGUAUUCAGAGGAAUAUCUUAGCUUGUGAUUGUUCAUCUCUGGUGUCCAAGCUGAAUGCCUCUGAAGCUGAACGAUUGGCUACUGGUGCUGUCGCCCAUGACAUCAAGUUAUUACCGUUGUUGAAGUUUGUUUCAGUUUCCUUUAUUCAUGUUAGUUGAGCAUGUAAUAGGGCGGCUCAUGCUAUCACGCGAUCUGCGGAGCAUGUUGUCGUAGGUGCUUGGUAUGUCGAAGCUCCGGAUUUCAUCGGACCCGUACUUUGUAAUGAACUUAUUGUCAUUUAAUCAAUGAAGCGCC
rnacentral:rRNA from 1 species